CUAAAGCAAAGAUGAAAGAAAAUGCAAGAAUAAUCAUAAGAACAAGCACAACACAAACACAACGAUAUAUAGUGGUUCGGUGCACCCCAAGGCACCUAUGUCCACUCCCCAAGCGUUCCCUUGGGAAUUUUACUAUAACCCCUCAGAUUACAGUAGGAUUGUUUUUCGGGCUCACAAUCCAAAACCUUUACAAUUUGGUUUUUCGGGAUCACCAAUAACCUAUGUUGAUUUUACGGGCUCACCAACGAACCUUCACAAUUGGUUUUACGGGCUCACCAACAAACCUACGUUGGUUUUACGGGUUGACCAACAACCUACGUUGGUUUUACGGGCUGACCAGCAAUCUACGUUGGUUUUACGGGCUUACCAGCAACCUACGUUGGUUUUACGGGCUUACCAACAACCUACUGUUGCCCAAGGUGACAAGCCAAGAGGGGGGGUGAAUUGGUUUCUUUUAAUUUUAACUAUCUUACUUGUGUUAAAUGAUGAGUUAGUGAACUUAAACAAAUCACAAUACAAACAACAAGAAGUAUAGUGGUUCGGUGCUCUCCUUAGCACCUACGUCCACUCCCCAAGCGACCCCUUGGGAAUUCACUAUAAUCCCGCGGAUUACAGUUGGAUUGUUUUCCGGGCUCACAAUCCAAAAAACCUUUACACUUUGGUUUUUCGGGUUCACCAAAAACCUAUGUUGGUUUUACGGGCUCACCAACGAACCUAUACAAUUGGUUUUACGGGUUCACCAAUAACCUACGUUGGUUUUACGGGUUGACCAACAACCUACGUUGGUUUUACGGGAUUACCAACAACCUAUGUUGGUUUUACGGGCUCACCAACGAACCUUUGCAAUUGGUUUUUCGGGUUCACCAAUCAACCUAUUCCGUUGGUUUUGCGGGCUAACCAACCAACCUUUACAAGUAGUUUAAUAAACUAAGGAAGAAGAUUUAAACUCCUAGAUGAGCAAAUAUAACAAUAUAAUCUACAAAGAAGAGUUUAGAGAAUAGUUAUCGCUUGAUGUGACUUCUCUCUUCUUUGUCAAGGAUGCUUCACUCUUCAAGGGUGGAUGGAGCUCUUGAUGACUCUUUGAAUCUGCUCAACCACUUUCUUUUGAUUCUUGAAUGAAGCACUUGGAUGAAGCUUGCCUUGCUAGGGUUCUCUCUUGAAUGCACUUGAUGUAUUUUCCAAAGCUUGCUUCCUCUGAUGAAUACUCUCUCUUAAAUACUUCUCCAACCUCCAAAUAGUCCUUCCUAACCGUUGGAUUGAAGAAACUAGCCGUUUAUAGCCGUUGGGAGUCCAAAAAGCACUUCUG
rnacentral:lncRNA from 1 species